CUUGACUAUUACUUUCGGCACAUAGGUUUAUGGUGAUAAAUCUUUGCAUUUUCUUGACAAAAGAGAGGACAGUGGUUAAAAAUGGGAGAGUUAGAUAUUUCUAUUGGUAUUUAGUUUGAACUAUCAAAGUUAGGGGAUUCUUAUCGUACAUGGGUAUACUACUCUUGAGUGCAUCGCAUGCUUCUUGUCACAGCAAACGGCAUGGUCAAUCGCAUUUGAGUCUAGGUUGUUGGUUUUUAUGAUAUUACGUCUGUGCAGAAGUUUUGUCUUUCACAGGCCAUCGUGCUCUUUAUCUGGAUUUAUUUCAGGGGGGUGAAUCAACAGCAUAAAGAUGUAAAUAUUUUUUUAAAAUUUUAAGUAGCCAAAUUUCAAAAUCAAUUUUAUUUUACUUGAUAAACUAGAUUUGGUUAGAAAUUAUUUUUUUUAUUAAUAAUUUAUAGUAUUUAAUUCACAUAUAUAAA